UAUUAGGUUGGUGCAAAAGUAAUUGUGGUUUUUGCCAUUGAAAGUAAUGGCAAAAACUGCAAUUACUUUUGUACCAGCCUAAUA
rnacentral:pre_miRNA from 1 species